rnacentral:misc_RNA from 1 species
CAGAGUUGCAAAACUCCCUAAACCAUCGUGAACGUUACCUUUUGUCGUUGCUUCGGCGGGCGGCGCCCAGCGCCCCCGGGCCCCGUAAAGGGCGCCCGCCGGAGGUACCUAACUCUUGAUAACUGUAUGGCCUCUCUGAGUCUCUGUACUUAAUUAAGUCA